GGGAUUGUGGUUCAGCGGUAGAGCGCUCGCCUUGCACGCGCAAGGCCCUGGGUUCGAUCCUCAGCACCA
rfam:Ictidomys tridecemlineatus contig099403, whole genome shotgun sequence.